GACGAACGCUGGCGGCGUGCCUAAUACAUGCAAGUAGAACGCACAGUUUAUACCGUAGCUUGCUACACCAUAAACUGUGAGUUGCGAACGGGUGAGUAACGCGUAGGUAACCUGCCUGGUAGCGGGGGAUAACUAUUGGAAACGAUAGCUAAUACCGCAUAAUAUUGAUUAUUUCAUGAUAAUUGAUUGAAAGAUGCUAUUGCAUCACUACCAGAUGGACCUGCGUUGUAUUAGCUAGUAGGUGAGGUAACGGCUCACCUAGGCGACGAUACAUAGCCGACCUGAGAGGGUGAUCGGCCACACUGGGACUGAGACACGGCCAAGACUCCUACGGGAGGCAGCAGUAGGGAAUCUUCGGCAAUGGACGAAAGUCUGACCGAGCAACGCCGCGUGAGUGAAGAAGGUUUUCGGAUCGUAAAGCUCUGUUGUAAGAGAAGAACGGGUGUGAGAGUGGAAAGUUCACACUGUGACGGUAUCUUACCAGAAAGGGACGGCUAACUACGUG
rnacentral:rRNA from 1 species